CUACGGGUUGCAGCAGUCGAGAAUCUUCCGCAAUGGGCGAAAGCCUGACGGAGCAAUGCCGCGUGCAGGAUGAAGGCCUUUGGGUUGUAAACUGCUGUCACUGGGGAUGAAAUCUGACAGUACCCGGAGAGGAAGCCACGGCUAACUACGUGCCAGCAGCCGCGGUAAUACGUAGGUGGCGAGCGUUGUUCGGAUUUAUUGGGCGUAAAGGGUUCGUAGGGGGUUUGUUAAGUCUGAUGUGAAAUCCAGCGGCUCAACCGCUGAACUGCAUUGGAAACUGAUGAACUAGAGGACCGGAGAGGAGAGUGGAAUUCCAGGAGUAGCGGUGGAAUGCGUAGAUAUCUGGAAGAACACCAACAGCGAAGGCAGCUCUCUGGACGGUUCCUGACCCUGAGGGACGAAAGCGUGGGUAGCAAACAGGAUUAGAUACCCCUGUAGUC
rnacentral:rRNA from 1 species